GCCGGGGCCUGCGGCGCGCCCAGCGGCUCCAGGUCCCCGGCUUUAGAAAGAAGACUUGACGCCUGUGACGACUCCCCUCUUAAGCCACAGACAAUAUGAGGACCCCGGGGGUCGGCGCGACCGGGCAGGAUCGCGCCCCGCUUGGGGCUGGACCCUGGUCCACGGAGCCCCGCCCCUAGCCCCGCCCACCACACCUGCCGCCUGCUCGAGGCUUGGACACGCCCGGGUCUUCUCUUGCCCCGCGCUGCGCCACCCGACCUGGGCCCUGGGAUGGGGCAGGGGCGGGGGGUGCUCGGCCCUGCCACACUGUGUGACCUUGGGAAGAUGCUUUUGCUGCUGCCAUUUCACAGACGGGAAAGCGACAACGGCCCGCCUGGACUUGAACACAGGCCCAAGGCCUUCUGACCACUUGCCCGCCUCUGCUGGUCUUGCUGUCUGUCCCCACGGCCUUCACUACUGUGUCCCUGGUGCCUAGAACAGAGCCUGGUACAUAGAAGGUGCUCGAUGAAUGCUUUUCCCUAUCCCAUUUUCAAGAGGAGAAAACUGAGGCGAUUUGCCAAGGGGAGAUCCACGUGGCUGCUUUGACAGAGAGUGUUCUGCAAAAGGGCUUAGAAAUCAGCCAGCAGGUGGGAAAAUAUGGCGGAGAGGUGAACCAUCAGAACAUGAAUGGGGGGGUGUCUCUAGUGGGCGUGGGGCAGGGGGAUGGCAGGGGGAUGGCCUUUCAUGCUGCCCUGUGCCUUCCAUGCUGUGGCUCUCCGGCCGUGUCUGGUGUCCCCUCUGGGCCUCAGUCCCUGGUAUAUAAAAUGAGGUGAUAAUAUUCUAUCUGGGAUUCUGGGCCUGCUGUUACCCCUCACUGCUGGCCUUCCCCGACACAUUAGAGUUAAUCAGAUGUCCCUUUCACCCCACAAAGCAGGCAGAUGGGGAAACUGAGGCCCGAAGAGGAUUAGAACUUCCUACUUCCCCCUCCAAAUCCCCCUUGUACCCUUGUGAAUGGGUACAAGAGCCAGACUUAAAAGCCAGAUUCCCUGAUUCCAAUGUUUGAGAUUUUCCCCAUCAUGCCUCCUCUCUGAGGCCUCAGUUUCCCCAUCUGCCAAGUGGGGCUGGCAGAGAUAGAUCCCCAAGGGCUGCCAGGCUCCGAGGUUCUGAGAUCCAGGAUUUUGGAGACGGGAGGUGCUCAGGACCGGUAGUGAAACUUGCCUGAGUAUAUACUGCCCCCAGGUGGCAGGUUCUGGGACUGCAGGAGCCAUUCACAUGCGUGAAGAUCCGCUGGGCGCCCUUGCUCUGGGAUCAGGAAAGGCCGGUGCCAUGGAUGUGAUAGAUGCACACAGGGCAUCAGCAGGCCGCCGAGAGGAACCAGAGUGUCCAACGAACAGAAAACAGUGCUCAACCUUCACAUUUAUCGAAUGUUCCUUGGCACAUGCUGUAAUUCUGGCCCUAAAGACACAUUCAUGGACAAGACAAGCAAUUCCUGUUCUCGUGGAGCUGAAAUUCUCCUGGGGGAAGACAAGCACUAAACAAGAUCAAUGAUUAAAGUAUAGAUUGUAUUAGAUUCUGGUCAGCACUAUGGAGGAAAAUACAGCAGGGGAGCAGAGCAGGAGUUCUGGGAGAUUUGAUUUUUUGUUUUCUGGGGUUUUUUGUUUGUUUGUUUUUUGAGACAGGGUCUCACUGCUGGAGUGCAGUGGCACGAUCUCUGCUCACUGCAGCCUCUGCUUCUUGGGCUCAGGUGAUCCUCCCACCUCAACCUCCCAAGUAGCUGGGACCACAGGGGCAUGCCACCACACCCAGCUGAUUUUUUAAUGUUUUGUAGAGAUCAGGUCUCAUUAUAUUGCCCAAGCUGGGGGAGUUGAUUUUAACUUUAUGUUAGAGUAGUCAGGGAAGACCUCACUGAGGUGACAUUUAAGCAAAAACCUGAAUGUGGUGAAGCAGGUAUCUGGGGGACCUUGGACCACACAAAGGGAACAGCAAGUGCAAAGGCCCUGAGGUAGGAGCACGUAGUUGUGGUGAUGACGGAGAGUAGCAGGAAUUUGUGUCAUAGAAAUAGUGGGGGCUGGCCAGGCACAGCGGCUCAUGCCUGCAAUCCUAGCACUUUGGGAGGCCGAGGUGGGUGGAUUACUUGAGGUCAGGAGUCUGAGACCAGCCUGGCCAACAUGGUGAAACCCCAUCUCUACUAAAAAUUAAAAAAAAAAAAAUGGCCAGGCAUGGUGGCGUGCAUCUGUAAUCCCAGCUAUUCAGGAGGCUGAGACAUGAGAAUCACUUGAACCCGGGAGGCGGAGGUUGCAGUGAGCCGAAAUUGUGCCUCUGCACUCCAACCUGGGUGACAAAGCAAGACUCUGCCUCCAAAAAAAAAAAAAUGGAACAUGGAAACAUGGAAUGGGAGAAAAUAUUUGCAAAUCAUAUAUCUGAUAAGGGGUUCAUAUCCAGAAUACAUAAAGAACUGUUACAACUCAACAGCAAUAAAAACAACUCAAUUAAAAAUGGGCAAAGGACUUGAAUAAACAUUUCUCCAGAGAAAACUGUGAAUGGCUAAUAAUCACAUGAUAAGAUACUCAACAUCACUAACCAUUAAGGAAAUACAAACCAAAACUGCAAUGAGGCGCAACACUUUGGUGGAUCACCUGAGGUCAAGAGUUGGAGACCAGCCUGGCCGACACGGUGAAACCCCGUCUCUACUAAAAAUACAAAAAUUAGCUGGGCGUGAUGGUACGUGCGUAUAGUCCCAGCUACUUGGGAGGCUGAGGCAGGAGAAUCACUUGAACCUGGGAGGUGGAGGUUGCAGCAAGCCAAGAUCACGCCACUGCACCCCAGCCUGGGCAACUGAGUGAGACUCCAUCUAAAAAACAAACAAAACGCAAUGAGAAGAGAGGAUUUUGAAUGUUCCCGACACAAAGAAAUGAUAAACGCUUGAGGUAAUGGAUAUCCUAAUUACCCAGAUUUGAUUAUUACACGUUGUAUACAUGUAUUGAAAUAUCAUUUUGUAACCCAUGAACAUGUACAAUUAUGUGUCAACUAAAAAUAAAAGGAAUAAAACACAAUGAGAUACCACCUUACGCCCAUUAGGCUGGCUGCUGCGUUGGGAAGGAUGUGUAGAAACUGGAAUGCUUGUGUAGCUACUGUGGGAAAUGGUAUGGCUGUUCCUCAAAAAAUUAAAAAUAGAAUUACCAAAUGACCCAGCAAUUUUAUUUCUGGGUGUGUAUCCAAACGAAUUGAAAGCAAGAUCUUGAAGAGAUAUUUGUACACUCACGUUCAUAGCAGCCUUCUUCACAAUAGCCAAAAGGUGGAAGCAAUUAGCUGGGUGUGGUGGCGGGUGCCUGUAAUCCCUGCUACUU
rnacentral:lncRNA from 10 species